UACAGAGGUGCCCGAGCGUUGUUCGGAUUCACUAGGGCGUAAAGGGUGCGUAGGUUGGCAUGUUAAGUUUGAUGUGAAAGCUCAGGGCUUAACCCUGAAAUGGCAUUGAAGUACUAGCGUGACUGGAGGUUUGGAGGGGGGACUGGAAUUCUCGGUGUAGCAGUGAAAUGCGUAGAUAUCGAGAGGAACACCAGUGGCGAAGGCGAGUCCCUGGACAACACCAUGACACUGAGGCACGAAAGCCGGGGGAGCAAACAGG
rnacentral:rRNA from 1 species